CAGCAGCCGCGGGAAUACGUAGGUGGCAAGCGUUGUCCGGAAUUAUUGGGCGUAAAGGGCUCGCAGGCGGUUUCUUAAGUCUGAUGUGAAAGCCCCCGGCUCAACCGGGGAGGGUCAUUGGAAACUGGGAAACUUGAGUGCGGAAGAGGAGAGUGGAAUUCCACGUGUAGCGGUGAAAUGCGUAGAGAUGUGGAGGAACACCAGUGGCGAAGGCGACUCUCUGGUCUGUAACUGACGCUGAGGAGCGAAAGCGUGGGGAGCAAAUGGGAUUAGAUACCCCGGUAGUCCCUGUCUCUUAUAC
rnacentral:rRNA from 1 species